GGGCGUCUGUGGGCGGGACCUCCCGGGAUUGGAGUGAAGGGGGUAUCUGCUUGACAGUGGAUCCCUGGGGAUCUACGCUGAGUUCGGAGAUGCUCCAGCUCGGGCCGCCCCUGUCUGAGCGGAGCUUUGCGGCGCUGAAGCUUACAGGGGAAGGAAAAGCCUCGCCCGGCGUCUGAUUGGCGGAACCGCGCUGCCGCAGCCUGGGAUUCCCCAGGGACCCCCCGGAGCCGCCGCGUCUCCCAUGGACUUGCCCGGGGACUCCAGCCCGCCUGGCCAGCCGCGUCUGUGCCGCCAGCCUCUGACUCGAGCAUUAUGGGGAGCCAGGAGCCCGAAACGGCCGAGGCUGCAGCUCCCGGGGGCCCCUUCUCCCCUGGAAAAGGCCUCUCGGCGGGUCCUGGCCGUGGUGCUAGAAGAUGUCAUGGCUGUUCACAGGGUCCCCGUGGUGCCCUCAAAGGAGACCUCCAUACCACAGCACCACAGCUACCGUCAGGAUCCUGUCCACAGGCAGCCGCCUGCCUCGCCACCCCGGCAGGCCGGGUGGUCCUCGCAGGCCAGGUGAGCAUGGCAGGAUGGGGGUAAGCCGAGGGCCCAGCUGAGCC
rnacentral:sRNA from 1 species